GAUGAAGAACGCAGCGAAAUGCGAUAAGUAGUGUGAAUUGCAGAAUUCAGUGAAUCAUCGAAUCUUUGAACGCACAUUGCGCCCCUUGGUAUUCCAUGGGGCAUGCCUGUUCGAGCGUCAUUUGUACCUUCAAGCUUUGCUUGGUGUUGGGUGUUUGUCUCGCCUUUGCCUGUAGACUCGCCUUAAAAUAAUUGGCAGCCGGCGUAUUGAUUUCGGAGCGCAGUACAUCUCGCGCUUUGCACUCAUAACGACAGCGUCCAAAAGUACAUUUUACACUCUUGACCUCGGAUCAGGUAGGGAUACCCGCUGAACUUAAGCAUAUCAAUAAGCGGAGGA
rnacentral:misc_RNA from 1 species